UACGAAGGGAGCUAGCGUUUUUCGGAAUCACUGGGCGUAAAGCGCACGUAGGCGGAUGUGUCAGUCAGGGGUGAAAUCCCGGGGCUCAACCUCGGAACUGCCUCUGAUACAGCACGUCUCGAGUCCGGAAGAGGUGGGUGGAAUUCCUAGUGUAGAGGUGAAAUUCGUAGAUAUUAGGAAGAACACCGGUGGCGAAGGCGGCCCACUGGUCCGGUACUGACGCUGAGGUGCGAAAGCGUGGGGAGCAAACAGG
rnacentral:rRNA from 1 species